rnacentral:rRNA from 1 species
GGCGAACGCUGGCGGCGUGCUUAACACAUGCAAGUCGAACGGACAGACAGAGAGCUUGCUCUCUUGAAGUUAGUGGCGAACGGGUGAGUAACGCGUAAUCAACCUGCCCUUCAGAGGGGGAUAACAACGGGAAACCGUUGCUAAUACCGCGUACGAUUCAUGAACGGCAUCGUUUAUGAAUGAAAGGUGGCCUCUAUGUAUAAGCUAUCGCUGAAGGAGGGGAUUGGGUCUGAUUAGGUAGUUGGAGGGGUAACGGCCCGCCAAGGCAAUGAUCAGUAGCCGGUCUGAGAGGAUGAACGGCCACAUUGGGACUGAGACACAGCCCAAACUCCUACGGGAGGCAGCAGUGGGGAAUCUUCCGCAAUGGACGAAAGUCUGACGGAGCAACGCCGCGUGAGUGAUGAAGGUCUUCGGAUUGUAAAGCUCUGUUAAUCGGGACGAAAGAGUUCUGCGUGAAUAAUGCAGAAAAGUGACGGUACCGGAAUAGAAAGCCACGGCUAACUACGUGCCAGCCGCCGCGGUAA